UACGGGGGGGGCAAGCGUUGUUCGGAAUUACUGGGCGUAAAGGGCUGGCAGGCGGCCAACUAAGUCGGAUGUGAAAUCCCCAGGCUUAACCUGGGAACUGCAUCCGAUACUGGUCGGCUUGAAUCCGGGAGAGGGAUGCAGAAUUCCAGGUGUAGCGGUGAAAUGCGUAGAUAUCUGGAGGAAUACCGGUGGCGAAGGCGGCAUCCUGGACCGGCAUUGACGCUGAACAGCGAAAGCUAGGGGAGCAAACGGG
rnacentral:rRNA from 1 species